UCGAGAAUUUUUCUCAAUGGGGGAAACCCUGAAGGAGCGACGCCGCGUGGAGGAUGAAGGCUUUCGGGUUGUAAACUCCUGUCAUUUGGGAACAAUGCUAUUCGGUUUACUGCCGAGUAGUUGAUAGUACCAGAAGAGGAAGAGACGGCUAACUCUGUGCCAGCAGCCGCGGUAAUACAGAGGUCUCAAGCGUUGUUCGGAUUCAUUGGGCGUAAAGGGUGCGUAGGUGGCGUGGUAAGUCGGGUGUGAAAUUUCGGAGCUUAACUCCGAAACUGCAUUCGAUACUGCGGUGCUUGAGGACUGGAGAGGAGACUGGAAUUCAUGGUGUAGCAGUGAAAUGCGUAGAGAUCAUGAGGAAGACCAGUGGCGAAGGCGGGUCUCUGGACAGUUCCUGACACUGAGACACGAAGGCCAGGGGAGCAAACG
rnacentral:rRNA from 1 species